AGCAGAUAUACAAAAUAUAAAACAAAACAGUAAAACCUGCAAGAAGUUAUCCACAUAAUGGAAAUACCAGCCUGCCCUAUAAUUUUAACAGCACCCUAUAAUAUUAACACAUCAGUCCCUUGGUGACUUAAGAAAUUCUUUUGAUCCAAACUGAUGUUCUGGGAUCCUUAAUUUCGAUGGAAUAUGAAUACACAGUGCUUUUUUUCUUUUUAAAAAAAUGUUUAGGGGUUGUGGUGUUCGUACAGAGUCCCCGAUCGUCUCACGGACUAUUGACCCAUACACCACUAAUCUGCUGCCACCAACCAGGUCCUUCCCUGGUCCUCCUCAGUCACGUUCUUAAGUUAACAAAGAAGAGUGUAGUUUAUUGCAAACACCAAUAAACUUUAAAUGCAUUCAAAAUGUUGUUACUCUUUACUUUCUUAGUCUUAUUUUAUCCUGCCUCUAACUCUUCUACCUCCCCUCACACAAGAACCAACUGCACUAAUUGUCUCUCUAUUUCCAACUGUCUGCCAACUGCUUUCCCAACUGCCUUUCCCAACCAACUACCCAACUACCCACAACCCAAACCUCGGGCUAAGCCCUUUUAUAAACAGGUAAGCUCCGCCUCUGGCUUUUCUAUUAGUCUACCUAUUAACUCUUUCUCUCCCCCUGUACAGACAUUUUCAAAGGAAUGGGCAAACGCCACAGGGCUACUCUCAUUUUCCUACUCAUAUUGAAAUACUGCCCCUCAAUGAGGUCAAACUUAGAUUCACAAAAUGUUUUGGGGUAUGCGUACCUCUGUGUACCCUCCAGAAAAUAAAACACUGUGAAUAUGGUUCUUAGAAGCCUUUAUAGUGGUUUGAAUGCUGGGCCACUUGGAUUAGAAAAAUGCAUGUUCACUCAUCCUCUGGCUGGCUCUUAGUAUAGCCUACCUCACAGGGCAGCUGUUAGGUUAAAAUGGAGGGAGAAAUACAUACAUGGCCUUGAGCUCAUUGGAAGAAAGUUGUGAUAUAUAUGUAAUAAAAUUAUUAUUUUUUUUAAAAACCAUCAAAAGCAAAAUCUACAAAUCAUCAUCAUUAUUAAGAAUAAUAAUUUUAUUUUUGUGCUGCCCUUCCUUUCAUUUCAGAGACCAGGGCAAUGUAUAACACCAUUAAAAAAAUUCAGUCAUUUCAAAAACCAUUUACAUUAAAAACAUUAUUUUUUAAAAAAACCACCCCACUUUCCCUCCUGGUGAAAAAGAAAGAUAAUUAACUUGACGCCAUUAUAAUUCCAUCCCUCAUAACACCUCAUUAAAAUGCAAACACUUACGUUAAUGUUCCACAGACACAAGGCAGAAUGCAAACCUCGUGCUUUUUUCCUCUGAGAGACUGAACAGAAAACUCCUACAUGUACAAAGAGGCAUACGGUAAAUUAAAAGAAGCUAAGAACAAACAAGACAGACACUGCUUUUUGGAAACUUUUCCGUUUUUACUGAAUUCAGCCUACAUAGAGAGACAGACAGGGUAGUAUUUCGCUCUCCCAUUUUCACAGCAGCCGCCUUUGCAGUGUUUGUGUUCUUUUUACAUAUCUGCAUGUUGAGAAGGAAUUGGAGCCUGUAAUUUAGACAGUACAGCAGCCACCAGAGCAGAUUCCAAACAGCAGUGCUAGAUUAUUCAAUAGGCAAACGAAGCAUGUGUUUAGGGCACCAGCAAAGCAGGGGCACUUUUGGGGGGGGAGGUCUGUUUAAAGAAUUUAACAUUUGAUUAUUAUUUUUCUUUAAGCAUCAAAGUAGCUAUCAUGUUAAAAUCAGAACUUUGUUAGGCUUUCUUACCAUCCAUAACACACUCCUCUUCUUUCUUUCUGUUAUUUAUUAUAUAUUACAUAUGGGGGCCACCAUAAUCUUUUCAGUGCUUAGGGCCUCUAAAGGUCUUAAUGCAGUUCUGUGAAGCAGAGUUUGUAAUAGAACACAUGAGCUACUGGCAGGAGGAAUGUAUGUGAUGUCGAUAAAUAGAAGAGGAGUGCCCAAAGAGGGGCAGCUUAGUUAGUGCUUUCCCGGCUUAGGGAAGGAAAUAGGAGAGGUCUAGGACCUUGCCAGAGCCUCACCCCUCCUUCCCAAAGUUGGGUGCCUCCUUAUCCGUCUUCGGAAAGGCAGUGUGAAGACUGAGGGAGGGGGUGCCCAAAUUCGCCACUGCCCCAAAGUUAAAAACUCACUUGCCAUUUCUUCUCAAAAAGAGAGAGGGGUUUGGAAAAAUGAACCCUACUGUGGCAAUCUCAUGAUGUUCCCGAUAAACUUGAAACCUAGGUUCUUACUUUCACAACAGGAGCUCCAAGAUUGACAGUGCAGGGAACAGGAGCAAUAGGCAGGAGCUGACACUUGUCUAAAAGCAAUUUAAAAGAUGUAAUUGUUAGGAUAUUUCCGUUCCACCUUAAAAGGGAGCAGGAUGUUUGUGUCACAGCCUGCGUAUUUCCUGUUCACAGGAUGUUUCUGUUGUGUCUAUGCUUUCGUUUCUCUCUCUGUGCCUGAGACACCAAAGCAGGCAGUCAUGUUUUCUUUGUUCUGACCAACGCUGAAUAAAACUGUAAAUAAUGCUCUCCUGCGUGCAUCUUUCGCUGUGCAUUAUCUGCUGAUAGAGCGUGCACCAGCUCUGGAAUGUGGCAAGCUAUUUCUGGAGCUCGUGUCGCUAAUUGGAUGAUACUGCGUGUCUACGGGAGGUCGAUGGAUCGCAACGGAGACGACGUGGGGUCGUGAUGGACUCUGUCUCCCUGGCAGUAUCCCAACACAGGUAAUAAACGCUGAGGCUUCGGCAAGUGAAAGAUCACCUACAUAGGCAGAUUGUACAUUCACUCACCCCUAUGGAGCUAGGUCUCCAUGUUAGAAGCAUAAAACAAAGCAGGCCAUGCCAGAUGGGCAAUAUUCUCUUCCAUCAUCCCUGAUGGUGAUACUAGCUGCAUCAUGAGAGUCCAACCACACAGGGAGAUCUAUCUGUCCUUCUUUUUGGUCAAUUAAGAACUUCUUUAGAGACCCUUCUCCUGCAGGUAGCUAGCUAUUGGAGAGAGGCAUCUUUCUGCGGCAGUGCCCAAACUGUGUUGGCCCCUCCGCAGGCAAGUUCACCUUCCACCUUCCUUAUUAUUUGUUUGGUGCCAGUCGGCCCUGUUCUCCCAAGCUUUUAAUAGCAGAUGGUGUCUUCUGUAACAACAACUCAUCUUUUCAGCUUGAGUUGGGUGCUAUUUUUAUUUAGUGGCUGAUCAUUGCCUUUCAAUCGUCUGCUUUAAUAUUGUUUUUACAAUCUUUAUCGUAUUGUAAUAUCAUCUGUUUUGCGGCUUAUGGGAAAGUUGGGUUAUAAAUCCCUUAAAUAAAAUAAACAAUAAAAUAAAUAAACUGAGCAGGCAUGUAAAGAUAAAACUGAAGGCCAAGAGAACAAAGAAGUCAAGGUUUAGAGAAGAGGUAGGCAACAUUAUGUCUUCCAGUUGUUGUUGGACUCCAAAUCCCAUCAGCUCCACCCAGCAUGGCGGGUGGUCAGGGAUGAAAGGAGUUGGAGUUUGACGGGCACCAGGUUUGCUUUCUCUGACGUAGAGGAAUCCAAUAUUCUGCAGAGCAAAAUCUGGCAAGCAUUUCUGGUGACAUGGCAGGACCAAGGAUUGCCUAACCUGGAGCCAGAUGACAUGGCAGUGGAACAAGUCCCCUAACUAACCAAACCUUAGCUAAAAUCCCACUGAAAGGAGAUCUCCACUGAGAUCUAAUAUUUCCUUCCAUUUUCAGUUGGACAAAGAUUGUUCCGUUGUUUUAGGCUUUCAAAACCAAAGCAUGAGCAGGGUUCCAAAUUAUAAUAUUUCAAGGACUCACAAAGAAGGAAUGAAUCUGUGUGGUAAAAGACUUUUUUAAGCCUGUUUUUUAGAACACAAACUGAUCAAAGCUUCAUGGACUAUAUAACAGAUAAACACACCCACCCUUCUGUAGGUGGUGUCAAGGACAAUAAUUGUCAGUUCUAGAGUUGUAUCAUAGAUAAGAACUACCUAACAAUUAAUCUAAGCGUGGGCAUGGCUAAUAAUACUUUUUUGUUCCUGUGAAUACUUCUUUGCUUUUAGCAACAUUACAGAACUUGCUUGCCAUGCGACCAGAUGUUCCACUUCUGAAAGAGGGAAAAUAACUAUAUGGUGCAAUCUACACACAUAUAAAAAGUGUUCUGAAAAUGCUUUUUUUUAAAAGCGUUUUUAAAAAUACAUUAAAUUUUCCAUAAGGCUCACCAUUGCCAUCUAGUGUCACAUUGUAUAUUGCACCUAAAACACCCUUAAAACGAUUUGUUUACAGCUGUACCUUGGGUUACAAACACCUCAGGUUAUAAACACUUUGGGUUACAAACUCCGCUAACCUGGAAGUAGUACCUUGGGUUAAUAACUUUGCCCCAGGAUGAGAACAGAAAUUGCGCGGUGAUGGCACGGGAGCAGCGGGAGGCCCCGUUAGCUAAAGUGGUACCUCAGGUUAAGAACCGUUUCAGGUUAAGAACGGAUCUCCAGAACGAAUUAAGUUCAUAACCUGAGAUACCACUGUAUAGCCAAGUCCUUUCAUUCCAAAAGAACAAACAGAAAAAAUAGUGUACCAAACAACUUCUUCUUAAAAAACUAAACAAAAAAAAAAAAACAACCCUUGAAAACCAGACAAACUUGAAAUGCUCAAUUAUUUCAACUACAUUUUUUUUUUUUUUAGAGGGAGUGCUUUCUCUGAGCUCCCCUGCCAAUGUUUCAGUUGUAAAUUGCCUGGAUAUAUCAAAACAAUAUUUGAUUUGCUGUCACAUAAAGUAGGUUUUGCCAAGUAAGGUUUACCAAACGUACGAAAAUUAUAUGCAUGGUGCCAUAUGACUAGCUCAGGAUGAACCUAGCGUAUGGUGUUUUUUUAAAUAAAAAACAACAACCUGUGUGGUUUGCUUGCAUAUUAAUUGUAAUUACUGGAAAAAUGCAGAUUGGGGACUAAUUUACAUGUUUAGAAUAUUAUUAGUAUAAUUUAUUUAUAUCCUGCCUUUUUCCUUGAAAAGGUCUAAAGGCAGCUUACCGAUAAAAUAGAAACAGCAAAAACAUAGUAGGGGGAUCAUUAAAACAAUUGAGCAUUAAUAGAAUUAAAGCUAUCUAAUAAAACAUACAGAUAAUUACAAUGAAAACAUCACAGCAUGAGCACAUUAGUUCCCAAAAGCCUGUUGGAAUGAGAAAGUCUUCACCUGGCAGCAGGACAAUAAGGAGGGAGCCAGUCUAACUUCUCUAGGAAUAAAAAGCACAUGAUUCAGCACUUCUGGCACUUUGCCACUUCACUGAUAGGGGGUUGUAUUUUAAAUGUUCGGCCCUAACUCCCUCCAUACAGAAAGCUAGCAUCUUUUGAGGGAAAGCUAGACUAAACUACUUCUGUCUGACCAGAAUGUUGUGACAUGGAGAGAAUAAUACAGUGGAACCUCUGGUUACGAACAUAAUUCGUUCUGGAGGUCCGUUCUUAACCUGAAACUGUUCUUAACCUGAGGUACCACUUUAGCUAAUGCGGCCUGCUGCUGCCGCCGUGCCGCCCCCACACAAUUUCUGUUCUCAUCCUGAGGUAAAGUUCUUAACCCGAGAUACUACUUCCGGGUUAGAGGAGUCUGUAACCUGAAGUGUCUGUAACCCGAGGUGUCUGUAACCCGAGGUACCAUUGUAAUCCUACUUUCUCACAGAAGUAUGUGAACCUCUGCACCACCACUGCAACAGGAAAGAGGAACGUUUGUACCAAUAACUGUGAAUCACUUUUGCACCAGGAUCCACCUGCCUAGACCUGGAAAAAUCUAAGCAUGAUGGGUAAAGUGGCCAAGAUCUCCAGGUUUGCCCAUGCAUAGGAGCUGCCUUUGCAAUAGAGGUAUGUCAAGCUGCAAUGGGCAGAAGAGGAGUUAUGAAGCGUGAGCUGCAGGAAAUGCAAUAACUUUAAACUUAGGACAUCUUUCACAAGUAAUUUUACCACUGACCCAGAAUGAACAUGCUGAGCAUUUUAAUCACAUAUCUUCACUGUUCACAAUUACUGGGCCAUUAUUUAUAUUUUCCAGCUUCUGAAAAGGUCAAGUUCAAGGACCCCUGGAUAGUUAAGUCCAGUCAAAGGCGACUGUGGAGUGCGACGCUCAUCUCACUUCAGGCUGAGGGAGCCGGCAUUUGUCCACAGACAGCUUUCCGGGUCAUGUGGCCAGCAUGACUAAGCCGCUUCUGGUGCAACAGAACACCAUGACGGAAGCCAGAGCACACGGAAACGCUGUUCAUCUUCCCACUGCAGUGGUACCUACGUAUUUAUCUACUUGCACUGGUGUGCUUUCGAACUGCUAGGUUGGCAGAAGCUGGGACAGUGGUCCCACUCAUCCCAGUAAUGCCUUCAUGUUUCCGAAUUGAUUCUGGAGGUGUAUUUCUGGGUGCAGUAAGCCAGCCAUAUGAAUGCAUUUAUCCCCCACUAAUAUAUUCAUUAAACUCUGUCAUUCAACUGGCUGAGCGAGUUUUCCAAAGCACUACAAAAAGGUAUGGUUAUUGAAAACAGAUCUCUCAGAAAAAAGAGGUGCUUUGCAUUGCUUUUCUUUUUUUAAUGCAACACUAAACAGGCCCCCCUCCAUGGUAACUAGUAAGAGCUGCCCUGCUACAUCAGACCAGAGGGCUAUCUAGUUCAGCAUCCUGUGUUUCACAGUAGUCAAACUGGUAUUUACAGAAAGCCCACAAGCAGGUCACGAGGACAAUAGCACUCUCCCAUUGUUGUUCCCUAGCAACUGGUAUUCAAGAGAGAUCUAGGAGGUAGCAUAUAGCCAUCAAGACUGGUAGCUGUUGAGAGUUUUUAUCUUCCAUGAAUUUGUCUAGUCUCAUUUUAGCCCACCUAAGCUGCUGGCCAUCACUAUAUCUUACAGCAGCAAAUUCCAUCAUUUAAGUAUGUGUGCAUAUGUGUGUUUGUGUGGAAAAGUACUUCCUUUUGCUGUCCUUAUCUCCUUAACCAUUCUAUUGAUGACCUUAUGGCAUACCAAGCAGCUUAUAUCAAUCUCAACAUUUCCAAAGCAUGAACCACACACCUAAGUGCCUACACCUUGCUAAUAUAAUGAAGUAUGCUGAGUGUCAGUUACGGUCUUCAAAUAAAAACAUCUUGAAGGUCCCAGGCCACAGAGAAGUUAGGCUGGCCUCAACUAGAGCCAGGGCUUUUUUGGCUGUGGCUCCGAUCUGGUGGAACACUCUGUCACAAGAGACCAGGGCCCUGCGGGACUUGACAUCUUUCCGCAGGGCCUGCAACACAGAGCUGUUCCACCAGGCCUUUGGCCAGGGCACAGCCUGACUCCCUCCCUCGGCAAUCUUCGCGGAGCUCUGGCCCAAUGGUUGCCAGUGGCUUGAAUUAAUAAAUUUUAUAAUGAAUGAUUUUAGAGUGUUGUUUAUGCU